rnacentral:rRNA from 1 species
CCUACGGGGGACUGCAGUGAGGAAUAUUGGUCAAUGGACGAGAGUCUGAACCAGCCAAGUAGCGUGAAGGAUGACUGCCCUAUGGGUUGUAAACUUCUUUUAUAUGGGAAUAAAACGUUCCACGUGUGGGAUUUUGUAUGUACCAUAUGAAUAAGGAUCGGCUAACUCCGUGCCAGCAGCCGCGGUAAUACGGAGGAUCCGAGCGUUAUCCGGAUUUAUUGGGUUUAAAGGGAGCGUAGGUGGAUUGUUAAGUCAGUUGUGAAAGUUUGCGGCUCAACCGUAAAAUUGCAGUUGAAACUGGCAGUCUUGAGUACAGUAGAGGUGGGCGGAAUUCGUGGGGUAGCGGUGAAAUGCUUAGAGAUCACGAAGAACUCCGAUUGCGAAGGCAGUUCACUGGACUGCAACUGACACUGAGGCUCGAAAGUGUGGGUAUCAAACAGGAUUAGAUACCCGUGUAGUC